AUGGCACUGCAUACCUUGAAUCUGGCCAGGGGUGGCAAGUUCAAAAGAAAUGACAAGAAGGAUGUUGCUCAAAUUUUUCAAGUUGGCGUUCAACAUAUUUGGAAAAUUUGGACGACAACAAAGGAACAAAUAGCGCUUGGUCGGGAGGUGGAUGUAUCCAGCAAAAGGAAAGGAAGAUGCGGAAGAAAAGGAAAGGAUGAUACUCUAUCCCAAAUCCCCACCAUUCCAUUGAACAGAAGGUCGACUCUCAGGUCACUUGCUCGCCAAUUGGGUGUCAGUCAUACUACACUCUACAAGAAACUCAAGCUUCGCAAGAUUAGGAGGCACUCCAAUCGUCUGAAGCCAUACUUGAAAGAAAAGAAUAGAAGAGAGAGGAUCAAGUUUUGUUUGUCAAUGCUUGACGAGACCACCUUAGCAGCUCCAAGACCUAAGUUCAUUGGUAUGCACAACAUUAUGCAUAUUGACUAA
rnacentral:rRNA from 1 species